GAAAGGGGGCGAGGAAAGGGCGGAACCGUGAGGGGAAAGGGGGCGAGGAAAGGGCGGGAACCGUGAGGGGAAAGGGGGCGAGGAAAGGGCGGAACCGUGAGGGGAAAGGGGGGCGAGGAAAGGGCGGAACCGUGAGGGGAAAGGGGGCGAGGAAAGGGCGGAACCGUGAGGGGAAAGGGGGCGAGGAAAGGGCGGGAACCGUGAGGGGAAAGGGGGCGAGGAAAGGGCGGGAACCGUGAGGGGAAAGGGGCGGGCUCAGGCCAAGGGCGGCAGCUCUGAGGGGACACUCUGGCAGGCGGCACUCUGCAAACAGAACUGCAACGGACUGAACAUGAACGGGAGAGAAAUCA